AUUGAACGCUGGCGGAAUGCUUUACACAUGCAAGUCGAACGGUAGAGGGGGCAACCCCUCGAGAGUGGCGAACGGGUGAGUAAUAUAUCGGAACGUGCCCAGUCGUGGGGAUAACGUAGCGAAAGUUACGCUAAUACCGCAUACGAUCUACGGAUGAAAGCGGGGGAUCGCAAGACCUCGCGCGAUUGGAGCGGCCGAUAUCAGAUUAGGUAGUUGGUGGGGUAAAGGCUCACCAAGCCAACGAUCUGUAGCUGGUCUGAGAGGACGACCAGCCACACUGGAACUGAGACACGGUCCAGACUCCUACGGGAGGCAGCAGUGGGGGAAUUUUGGACAAUGGACGCAAGUCUGAUCCAGCCAUUCCGCGUGCAGGAUGAAGGCCCUCGGGUUGUAAACUGCUUUUGUACGGAACGAAACGGUGAGCUCUAAUACAGUUUGCUAAUGACGGUACCGUAAGAAUAAGCACCGGCUAACUAACGUGCCAGCAGCCGCGGU
rnacentral:rRNA from 1 species